rnacentral:tRNA from 1 species
GGACCCAUGGUGUAGCGGCUAGCACGAGAGACUCUGAAUCUCUAGACUCGGGUUCGAUUCCCGAUGGGUCCU